GUUGACCUCGGAUCAGGUAGGAAUACCCGCUGAACUUAAGCAUAUCAAUAAGCGGAGGAAAAGAAACCAACAGGGAUUGCCCUAGUAACGGCGAGUGAAGCGGCAACAGCUCAAAUUUGAAAUCUGCUU
rnacentral:rRNA from 1 species